rnacentral:rRNA from 1 species
GAAAGGCUUCGGCCGGACAGGGAUGGGCAUGCGGCGCAUUAGGCAGUAGGCGGGGUAACGGCCCACCUAACCGACGAUGCGUAGGGGUUCUGAGAGGAAGGUCCCCCACACUGGUACUGAGACACGGACCAGACUCCUACGGGAGGCAGCAGUGAGGAAUAUUGGUCAAUGGUCGGGAGACUGAACCAGCCAAGCCGCGUGAGGGAGGAAGGUACAGAGUAUCGUAAACCUCUUUUGUCAGAGAACAAAGACUGGGACGCGUCCCCGGAUGAGUGUACCUGAAGAAAAAGCAUCGGCUAACUCCGUGCCAGCAGCCGCGGUAAUACGGAGGAUGCGAGCGUUAUCCGGAUUUAUUGGGUUUAAAGGGUGCGCAGGCGGUCUGUUAAGUCAGCGGUCAAAGCCCGGGGCUCAACCCCGGCCCGCCGUUGAAACUGGCAGUCUCGAGUUGGAGAGAAGUAUGCGGAAUGCGCGGUGUAGCGGUGAAAUGCAUAGAUAUCGCGCAGAACUCCGAUUGCGAAGGCAGCAUGCCGGCUCCACACUGACGCUGAGGCACGAAAGCGUGGGUAUCGAACAGGAUUAGAUACCCUGGUAGUCCACGCAGUAAACGAUGAAUGCUGGCUGUCCGGGGGGACUGACCCCUGG